UGGGAUUAGAUACCCCACUAUGCCUGGCCCUAAAUCUUGAUGCUCGAUAUUACCUGAGCAUCCGCCCGAGAACUACGAGCACAAACGCUUAAAACUCUAAGGACUUGGCGGUGCCCCAAACCCACCUAGAGGAGCCUGUUCUGUAAUCGAUGAUCCACGAUAUUACCUGACCAUUUCUUGCACGAAACAGCCUAUAUACCGCCGUCGCCAGCCCACCUUUCCUGACAGCCCAACAGUGGACGCAAUAGCCUAACCCGCUAGUAAGACAGGUCAAGGUAUAGCCUAUGGAAUGGAAGCAAUGGGCUACAUUUUCUAGAUUAGAACAUACGGAUAGGGGUAUGAAACUGCCCCUGGAAGGCGGAUUUAGCAGUAAAGAGAGACAAUCGAGCCCUCUUUAAGCCGGCUCUGGAGCACGUACAUACCGCCCGUCACCCUCCUCA
rnacentral:rRNA from 1 species